rnacentral:sRNA from 1 species
GCUCUGGCUCUUUGUGCUGUUCAAGGAGUGCCUGUGAGGAUGUUUCCAGGAGAGAUAAGUAUUGGAAUUGAUGGACCAAGUAAAGCAGGUGGCAUACUCCAAUAUGGAUGGGCAUGAUUCAAUCCAUUGAGGGCUUGAAUAGAGCAAAAAGACAGAAGAAUGCUGGGUUCACCUGCUCUCUGCUGGACUACUUGGGUUGGGACAUCUAUCUUCUUCUGCCUUUGAUGCUUCUGGUUCUCAGGCCUUGAGAUUUAGUCUGGAAUCUACACCAUUGACCCUCUAGCUUUCAGGCCUUUAAACUUCACCUGACCUUCCUGCAUGUCCAGAUUGCAGACAGCAGAUUCUGGGAUUUCUUAGCCUCCAUAAUCAUGUGAGCCAAUAUGUCAUAAUAAAUUUCUUUAAAAAUAUAGAUUAGUAAAAUUUGCAUCCUAAUGAAAAUGUAAGCAUUGUGACAGAGAAUACUUUAGUCAGUCUCAAAUCCUAAAUUUGAGAUUGAAAUUUAAGAUAGCUUA